CAGGAUGAAUGUUGGUGUGUGUGUAACGGUGUGUGUGUAGGGGUGUGUGUGUGUGUAGGGGUGUGUGUGUGUAGUGGUGUGUGUGUGUGUAGUGGUGUGUGUGUGUAGGGGUGUGUGCGUGUAGUGGUGUGUGUGUGUAGGGGUGUGUGUAUGUGUAGUGGUGUGUGUGUGUGUAGUGGUGUGUGUGUGUAGGGGUGUGUGUGUGUGUGUGUAGUGGUGUGUGUGUGUAGUGGUGUGUGUGUGUAGUGGUGUGUGUGUGUAGGGGUGUGUGUGCAGCGGUGUGUGUGUAGUGGUGUAUGUGUAGUGGUGUGUGUAUGUGUAGUGGUGUGUGUGUGUGUAGUGGUGUAUGUGUAGUGGUGUGUGUAUGUGUAGUGGUGUGUGUAUGUGUAGUGGUGUGUGUAUGUGUAGUGGUGUGUAUGUGUAGUGGUGUGUGUGUGUGUAGUGGUGUAUGUGUAGUGGUGUAUGUGUAGUGGUGUGUGUGUGUAGUGGUGUGUGUAUGUGUAGUGGUGUGUGUAUGUGUAGUGGUGUGUGUGUGUAGUGGUGUAUGUGUAGUGGUGUGUGUAUGUGUAGUGGUGUAUGUGUGUAGGGGUGUGUGUAUGUGUAUAGAGGUGUGUGUAUGUAGUGGUGUAUGUGUAGUGGUGUGUGUGUAGGGGGUGUGUGUAUGUGUAGCGGUGUGUGUGUGUAGUGGUGUAUGUGUAGUGGUGUAUGUCUAGUGGUGUGUGUGUGUAGGGGUGUGUGUAUGUGUAGUGGUGUGUGUGUGUAGUGGUGUGUGUGUAUGUGUAGUGGUGUGUGUGUAGGGGUGUGUGUAUGUGUAGUGGUGUGUGUGUAGGGGUGUGUGUGUAUGUGUGGUGUGGUGUGUGUGUGUAGUGGUGUAUGUGUAGUGGUGUAUGUGUAGUGCGGUGUGUGUGUGUAGUGGUGUGUGUGUAGGGGUGUGUGUGUUUGUGUAUAGGGGUGUGUGUGUGUAGCGGUGUGUGUGUGUGUGUGUAGUGGUGAAUGUGUAGUGGUGUGUGUAUGUGUAGUGGUGUAUGUGUAGUGGUGUGUGUUUGUAGUGGUGUGUGUGUAGUGGUGUAUGUGUAGUGGUGUGUAUGUGUAGUGGUGUAUGUGUAGUGGUGUGUGUGUGUAGUGGUGUCUGUGUUUGUGUAUAGGGGUGUGUGUAGUGGUGUAUGUGUAGUGGUAUGUGUGUAGGGGUGUGUGUAUGUGUAGCGGUGUGUGUGUGUAUAGGGGUGUGUGUGUAGGGGUGUGUGUGUAGCGGUGUGUGUGUAGCGGUGUGUGUGUGUAGGGGUGUGUGUGGUGGUGGUGUGUGUGUAGCGGUGUGUGUGUGUAGGGGUGUGUGUGUAGUGGUGUGUGUGUAGGGGUGUGUGUGUAGUGUUGUGUGGUGGUGUGUGUGUGUAGUGGUGUGUGUGGUGGUGUGUGUGUAGGGGUGUGUGUGUAGGGGUGUGUGUUUGUGUAUAGGGGUGUGUGUGUAGCGGUGUGUGUGUGUGUGUAGUGGGUGUGUGUGUAGGGGUGUGUGUGUAGUGGUGUAGGUGUGUGUGUGUGUAGGUGACUGUAGUGGUGUGUGUGUAGUGGUGUGUGUGUAGGGGUGUGUGUAGGUGACUGUAGUGGUGUGUGUGUGUAGUAGUGUGUGUGUAGUGGUGUGUGUAGGGGUGUGUGUGUAGUGGUGUGUGUGUAGUGGUGUAGGUGUGUGUGUGUGUAGUGGUGUGUGUAGGGGUGUGUGUGUAGUGGUGUGUGUGUAGUGGUGUAGGUGUGUGUGUGUGUAGGUGACUGUAGUGGUGUGUGUGUAGUGGUGUGUGUGUAGUGGUGUAGGUGUGUGUGUGUGUAGGUGUGUGUAGUGGUGUGUGUGUAGUGGUGUGUGUGUAGGGGUGUGUGUGUGUAGUGGUGUGUGUGUAGGGGUGUGUGUGUAGUGGUGUGUGUGUAGUGGUGUGUGUGUAUGGGUGUGUGUGUAGGGGUGUGUGUGUAGUUGUGUGUGUGUGUAGUGGUGUGUGUGUAGUGGUGUGUGUGUAGGGGUGUGUGUGUAGUGGUGUGUGUAUAGUGGUGUGUGUGUAGGGGUGUGUGUGUAGGGGUGUGUGUGUAGUGGUGUGUGUGUAGGGGUGCGUGUCGGUUUGUGUGUAUAGCGGUGUGUGUAUAGUGGUGUGUGUUUCUCCGUUCCUCCCAAAACAACAACAGCCUCCAAAAGCAGCAGUCUGUCCAGACAAAGACCUUGUUUAGAGUUGGGCUGUGGUGAGUGUCAGGACUGAAGAGGCUGUGGUGUGAUGUGACAGAGGCUAGGAGGAGGGAGGGAGAGAAGGGCUAUUCAUCACAUUCCUGAUGCACAAUCACAUUACUGAAAUGUUUCAAAUACAAUACAAACUACUGUAUUGUAAUAACAUUGUU
ensembl:lncRNA